rnacentral:rRNA from 1 species
AGGGCGUAUGGGGAAUGCCUAGGCACACUCCGGCGAAGAAGGACGCAGCAAACAGCGAAAUGCGACGGUGAGCGGUAAGCACGUGAAGAGCCGUCGAUAUCCGAAUGGGGGAACCCACACGGAGUCAUAUCCGUGUAUCACAUGUCGAAUACAUAGACAUGAUGAGGCGAGACGCAGGGAACUGAAACAUCUAAGUACCUGCAGGAAGAGAAAAUAAGAAUGAUUUUCUGAGUAGCGGCGAGCGAAAGGGAAAGAGCCCAAACCGAUUUGAGGAUCGGGGUAGUAGGAUCAUCGAGAAAUCAAACAGAGGAUCAUAGAGGAAUCACAUGGGAAGGUGAGCGAGAGAGGGUGAGAGCCCCGUACUCGAAAUGAGAGACUGGAGAGAGAUGACACCUGAGUAGGGCGGGACACGAGAAAUCCUGUCUGAAUCAGCCGGGACCAUCCGGCAAGGCUAAAUACGAGAGAGUGACCGAUAGUGAACCAGUACCGUGAGGGAAAGGUGAAAAGAACCCCGGGAGGGGAGUGAAAGAGAACCUGAAACCAUAUGCCUACAAGAAGUCAGAGCCCGUUAAAGGGUGAUGGCGUGCCUUUUGUAGAAUGAACCGGCGAGUUACUGUAUGGAGCGAGGUUAAGCAGGAUAUGCGGAGCCGAAGCGAAAGCGAGUCUUAAGAGGGCGCGAGUUGCAUGCAGUAGACCCGAAACCGGGUGAUCUAGCCAUGACCAGGUUGAAGUUGGGGUAAAACCCGAUGGAGGACCGAACCGACCCCCGUUGAAACGUUGGCGGAUGAGUUGUGGCUAGGGGUGAAAUUCCAAUCGAACCCGGAGAUAGCUGGUUCUCCCCGAAAUAGCUUUAGGGCUAGCGUCGAGAGAAGAGUUGCGUGAAGGUAGAGCACUGAAUAUGUGAUGGCCCCAUCUCGGGGUACUGAGCAUAAUCAAACUGCGAAUGUCACGCCAACAUGCUCGGCAGUCAGACAGCGGGUGAUAAGGUCCGUUGUCAAGAGGGAAACAGCCCAGACCAUCAGCUAAGGUCCCAAAAUGUAUGCUAAGUGGAAAAGGAUGUGGAGAUGUACAGACAACUAGGAGGUUGGCUCAGAAGCAGCCAUCCUUUAAAGAGUGCGUAACAGCUCACUAGUCGAAUGACUCUGCGCCGAUAAUUUACCGGGGCUAAGCAUACUACCGAAGCUAUGGAUCCCAAGGGAUGGUAGGGGAGCGUUCCAUGAACGGAGAAGUACGACCGAAAGGACGUGUGGAGAUCAUGGAAGAGAGAAUGCCGGUGUGAGUAGCGGAACGUGGGUGAGAAUCCCACGCACCGAAAACCCAAGGUUUCCAGAGGAAGGUUCGUCCGCUCUGGGUAAGUCGGGACCUAAGGCGAGGCCGAAAGGCGUAGUCGAUGGACAACAGGUAGAGAUUCCUGUACCCGUAUAUAUGUGAAGGAAUGACGGAGAGAGGAAGCUGCAGCCAGCGGCUGGAAGAGCUGGUGCAAGCGAGAUAUCGGGAUGGCAGGCAAAUCCACCAUCCGAAACGAGAAGGCGUGAAGCGUACGGAAAGCUACGGCGAGUACGGAAGGCAGUGGAGGAACUUCCAAGAAAAGUUUCUAACGUUAAGUAUAUAUGGCCCGUACCGAAAAUGGACACACAUGGGUGAGGAGAGAAUCCUAAGGUGAGCGAGAGAACUAUAGCUAAGGAACUCUGCAAAAUGACUCCGUAACUUAGGGAGAAGGAGUGCUCAUAGAGAUAUGAGCCGCAGUGAAACGGCCCAAGCGACUGUUUACCAAAAACACAGCUCUCUGCUAAGCCGCAAGGCGAAGUAUAGGGGGUGACGCCUGCCCGGUGCUGGAAGGUUAAGGGGAGGGGUUAACGCAAGUGAAGCCCUGAACUGAAGCCCCAGUAAACGGCGGCCGUAACUAUAACGGUCCUAAGGUAGCGAAAUUCCUUGUCAGGUAAGUUCUGACCCGCACGAAAGGCGUAACGAUUUGGGCGCUGUCUCAGCUGUAGACUCGGUGAAGUCUUAGUACCUGUGAAGAUGCAGGUUACCCGCGACUAGACGGAAAGACCCCAUGGAGCUUCACUGCAGGUUGAUAUUGGGAUUUGAUGCAGCAUGUACAGGAUAGGUAGGAGGCAAAGAGAUGGAUACGCCAGUAUUCAAGGAGCCGCUGUUGGGAUACUACCCCUGUUGUAUUGGAUUUCUAACCGGACGACGUAGAGCCGUUGACGGGACAGUGUCAGUCGGGCAGUUUGACUGGGGCGGUCGCCUCCCAAAGAGUAACGGAGGCGCCCAAAGAUACCCUCAGCUUGGAUGGAAACCAAGCGCAGAGUGCAAAGGCAAAAGGGUGUUUGACUGCGAGACCUACAAGUCGAGCAGGGACGAAAGUCGGGCUUAGUGAUCCGGCGGUGCUGAAUGGAAAGGCCGUCGCUCAACGGAUAAAAGCUACCCUGGGGAUAACAGGCUGAUCUCCCCCAAGAGUCCACAUCGACGGGGAGGUU